UGAAAGGCUCCAGCGCACUGCAUCCUGCAUGGCACACUCAGGUGAAGACACGCUCACAGCGAUGAAUAUAGAGAGGAUUAUCGAGUGUAUCAGAGAGGACGAUCAGAAAGGACUGAAGGCAGAACUACAGCAAUUUAAUCGAGAGUAUGCGCAGUGUUUCUUCUAUGAUUUGGAGGAGAGGGAGAGAAGAAAA